rnacentral:lncRNA from 1 species
UUUACUACUUCCCUGUUUACGAUUAUUUGGGCUUCAAAGGAGACCGUGUCAUCCACCCUGUCCAGACAUAUGCCCUAUACUACUGGUGCUUCCACUACUUCAAACGUAUUAUGGAAACAUUUUUUGUACAUCGCUUCAGCCAUGCAACCUAACUCCGCCUAUGUAUCUUACAUUGCCGGUCCCAAGCCCGGAUAAAGGAGGAGGGGGAGGGCGUCAGGUAGUCGACAGCCGGCACUCCAUGAUCACGUCGAAUCCUUAUGAAAAUGAAUCCAGAACAAAAUUAAUGAGAACUCUUCUAUUCCGUGGACGUAGCCAAUCUGGGUGAACCACGUACAUCUUGUGUUUGCUUUCCUAUCUCUAUUCAUUUAUAUACUUAUCCACACUAAUGACCGGAGCAAUCUAGGGAAGAUCACAAAAAGCGACCGUUUUUGCUGCCUAGGAUCUAUCUUGCAAGAGAACGGAGAAUUAGAUGGAGAUCUCAACCAUAGAAUACGACCUGGAUGGAUGAAGUGUAAGAGUGCAUCCGGCGUGUUAUGUGACCGUCGUAGGUCACUGAAGCUCAAGGGAAAAUUUUAUAGGACGACAAUAAGGCCAACGAUGUUGUAUGGCACAGAAUGUUGGACGGUGAAGCAUCAACACGUACACAAAAUGGGGUGUAGCGGAGAUGAGGAUGCUUCGUGGGAUGUGUGGGCACACGAGAAAGGAUAAGAUUGGGCAUGAGGAUAUCCGAGGUAAAGUAGGAGUAGCCGAAAUUGAAGGAAAGAUGAGAGAAAAUCGGUUCCGGUGAUUUGGACAUGGGCAAAGAAGGCCGACUGACGCUCCGGUUCGAAGAUGUGACUACGGGACAGAGGUUCAGGGCCGAAGGGGUAGAGGAAGACCUAGGAAAACUUUGGAAGAGACUCUAAGAAAAGACUUAGAGUACUUGGAUCGAACGGAAGACAUGACACAAAACCGAGCGCAAUGGCGUUCUAGGAUUCAUAUAGCCGACCCCACUUAGUGGGAAAAGGCUUUGUUGUUGUUGUUGUUUGUUGUUGUUGUUGUUUGCUUCAGCCAUGCAACCUCACCACUCUCCAAUGUAUUCCGGAAUUGUGCUUAUUAUUGGAGCUUUGGUGCUUUCAUAGCUUACUACCUGAAUCACCCGCUUUACACCCCUGUUAGUGACCUCCAAAUGAAGAUUGGGUUUGGUAUUGGGAUAAUAUGUCAAAUCUCAAACUUCUAUUGCCAUUCCUUUUGAGGAACCUGCGAAGCCCUGAUGGGAAUGGAGGAUAUCAGAUCCCACGUGGUUUUCUGUUCAAUAUUGUGACAUGUGCAAAUUACACUACAGAGAUCUAUCAGUGGUUGGGCUUCAAUAUAGCAACACAGACAGUUGCUGGCUAUAUCUUUCUCAUAGUUGCUGCUUCUAUCAUGACCAAUUGGGCCCUUGCCAAGCACCGCCGUCUUAAGAAGGUAAUCAUAUUGUUGGAAAAUUUAGUUAUUAUUUUAUUAUUGUUUGUGGUUUUCUUGUGGGACAAGGAUAUUAGAGUUUCUUGCCCAUUAGUAUUAGGGUUUCGUUUCCUUGCCUAUUGGGUUUAGGAUUGUGCUUUGGUUUUCUAUAUCCUUUAAGGAUUAGGGUUUGCUUUAGUUUUCACUAUAUAUAGUAGUGCUUGUAUUAGUUAGUUUUAAUAAGUUAUUCACAAUGUAGUCUCUUAGGGUUUUGUAGCCGUUUCGGCAUUCUCGUUUGAUAUCAAUAAUAUUUCUAUUACUUUGUUAGUAUUGUUCGUUGCGCACUAUGAUAUUCAACUCAUAUAAACUUUUGUGCUCUACAAAUCAAAAUCUUUAUUCUUACAUGCAUCCUUAUUCUCUAAUAAGGUUCUUGACGAAAUAUUUGUAUCUCAGUGUGCGGAUAAUUGAGUUCUUAAUUAAGGACUUCGUCUGAAGUCCUUGUUAGAGAACAACUCUAUAUAUAGUUACAUUACAUACUUCUAUGUGAUAGUUUCAUGUUUAGAUUGUGUAUCACCGCACGGAUGGGUUAGUUUGCGUGCACGAUUAAUAAAUUGCUCCAUAAACUGAACUUCGAUGGGAUGUGAUAUCAAGAUUGUCGGUUCUUAUUAUGUUAAAUGAGUGCUUUAAUUCGAUUGGUUCAAAAUUAGCUUUCGUGACAAAUAUACAAUUGCCGGCCGUUAUUUUUCUAUUUCUAUUUUAUAGGAAUGUGGAAAACCAUAUCCGAUGGAUGAGCAUAUUUAACAUUUAUAGGUUUUAUUCAUGGUGUCGGAAUGUUGUGAUACGAGUUUGUAUCGAAUAUAAGUGCUUUUAACACGAUUUGUGCCAUCGCAGAUAUUUGACGGCAAAGACGGAAGACCCAAGUAUCCACGCCGAUGGGUGAUCCUACCUCCAUUCCUGUAGAAGCCAUUGACUCCUGGAUUGCACCCACGCCGGAUUGGUGGUGGAACUUGAAGAAGUUAAAUCAGAGUCGAUUUCAGACGAUCUUAGCAUUUCAUUUGAAACGUAGGAUUUGCUUGUCGAUCUAUGAAACAUAGGUCA